GGAAGGAUCAUUAACACGUAUCCACGUAUCAACCAAUGAGAACUCGUUUUCCCCCUCCCUUUGCACAUUAGAAUGAAUUGGAACCAGUCUGAAGGAAUGAUGUGGACCGCGAGGUCAGCCUUCCUGGUAUACCUAUAGUCGGCGCAAGUCGGCUAUUGACAAUUGUAUCUUUUAUGCGAGGCAAAAUUUCUUUCAGCACUUUGAUCUCACAUCAUGGUCCGAGGUGCUGGAGGAGAACAAACCUAUAAACCUUUUUCACCCCCUUUUUGCUAGUUGACUUUUUAUCUGUGAUCGUUUUGCGCAAGCAAUGUGGUCGCACGUUUAAUUACUUGAACGUUAAAAAAUACAACUCUUAGCAAUGGAUAUCUUGGUUCUCGCAACGAUGAAGAACGCAGCGAAAUGCGAUACGUAAUGCGAAUUGCAGAAUUCAGUGAAUCAUCAAAUCUUUGAACGCAAAUUGCGCUCUUGGGUAGCCCUAGGAGCACGCCUCUCUCAGUAUCGGUUCAACCAUCUCUCAGCAGCGUGUUUGUUAUUUAUUUAACGAGCGCGUGUUGGCUGGAUAAUGAGAGUCUGAGUGCGCACAGCGCUCAGUCUCUUGAAAUACAUGGAGUAAACAUGACUAAUCGAUCAGCUCAAUUUUAGCUUGCUAAAGUUGAUAGCCGAGUCUCUGACUUGCUUUCGAUCGAAAUAGUGACGUGAAUAUUGGCCUUCAUUGGUCUUCUUUUAUGUUUAUCUGUUUCGAAUGAGGGCGCUUAUGGGUCUAGGAUUCAGCGAACGUUCGAAUCUUUGGUGUGUGUUUGCGUAUAGAAAACCAUAUGGCUUCGAGUGUAACUAUUCGAAUCCUGAAUUUUGAUCUGAGAUGAAGCGAGACAACCCCCUGAAUUUAAGCAUAUUAAUAAGGGGAGGAAAAGAAACUAACAAGGAUUCCCCCAGUAACGGCGAGUGAAGCGGGAAGAGCUCAAUUUGAAAAUCGAUUACCUAAACGGGUCAUCGAAUUGUAGCCUAGAGACGUACUAUCAGCUGAAACCUGGGUAUAAGUUCUUUGGAAUGAGGCAUCAUAGAGGGUGAGAAUCCCGUUUAUGACCCAAAGCUUUCAGCGUACGAUGUAUGUUCAUCGAGUCGAGUUGUUUGGGAUUGCAGCUCUAAAUGGGUGGUAAGUUUCAUCUAAAGCUAAAUAAUGGCGAGAGACCGAUAGCGAACAAGUACCGUGAGGGAAAGAUGAAAAGAACUUUGAAAAGAGAGUUAAAAGUACUUGAAAUUGCUAAGAGGGAAGCGCUAAAAACCAGUGAUACGCUGGGUCAAUCGUUCUCGGCCGCUCGUAGCUAGUGUCAGUCAAUGGGCAACCUUGCUUGGCGCUAUCGAAAGGAUGGUUGUGGAUUUAUGAUCUAGUGUCAGUCAAGAUCAAUUCGGAUUGUGGGAGAAGGUAGCGAGAAAGGUAGGAGAGCAAUCUCUGUUAUAUUCUUGUUACUCUACCUCGGCCUGGAUUGAGGAAGUAAUGGUGCGCCGCUUGCGGCUUGGUCCGGCGUCUCUGUUGUCCUACUCGCUCCGAUAGCAAUGCUAUCUCUGUGGGGACAGGCAAUACUGGGCGUCGUGAUUCUAUGUGCCAUCACGAUCUUGUACGAAAUGGUUUUUAUCGACCCGUCUUGAAACACGGACCAAGGAGUCUAACAUCUAUGCAAGUAUUUGGGUGAAAAACCCUGAUGCGUAAUGAAAGUAAAGGCGGACUUGUUCCGCUGAGGUAGGAAUCCUUGUCAAAGGGGAGGCACUAUCGACCGAUCAUCACUUGUGAAAGAUUUGAGUAAGAGCAUAUCUGUUGGGACCCGAAAGAUGGUGAUCUAUGCCUGAACAGGGUGAAGCCAGGGGAAACUCUGGUGGAGGCUCGUAGCGAUACUGACGUGCAAAUCGUUCGUCUGAUUUGGGUAUAGGGGCGAAAGACUAAUCGAACCAUCUAGUAGCUGGUUCCCUC
rnacentral:misc_RNA from 1 species